GCAGUCCACAACGGCCCUGGGUGCCAGGAGCUCUUAGUCUCAAACAGCCUCCCAAGCUGUCCCCUGCGGUGGAGAUUGAACCCCUUGAGCCGCCGCUAGGACCUGGAGAGGUGGAAUUUCAAUUUGAAACUCCCGUCGCGGGAGGGCUGGCGCUGGGCAUGCUCAGUAGCCGCGGCGCGUGGGGCUGCUGCUGUAGCUGUUCUGCGGGGUGGCGCGGGGUCCCCGCACUGUUACCUCCUCUGCUGCGGGGCUUCCAGAAGGCCGAGCCUUCACCUCGCCCCCGCCCGCUCCCGUGUCCCUCAUCCACCGCCUCCUACUCUUCUUCCUCUCCGCAUCUUUGAGAGAGAGGAAGCUGGUGCUGUUUUCUGUCGGCGGCGCUACAGACCGACCGCCCUGGAAACCCCAGCGGAGGACCCUGCGAACGAAUUCCGGAUCGGAGGACCGUUGGCAGUGGCUCGUUCACUUCGCACUUUGCCUGAAGUGGGGUCUUGGCAGAAUUUCUCCUCCACCCCUCAAUGCAAACACUAUGCGGAGAACAGUCGGCUUCCCUGCGCUAUGCCUGCUUCUUAAUCUUCACGCUGCAGGGUGUUUUUCAGGACAUAAUCAUCACUUUUUGGCAGUUCACCACAGGAAGAAUGGGAAGCCAUUAUUCAUCUAUCACCAUUCACAAGACCUUGAGAAGAGCCUGGAUAUUGCUCCACAAAAGAUAUAUAAACAUAGUUACCAUUCUGCUCCUGAAACUUGGAGAAGCAAAAGCCAGCAAAUAAUUAACUCAGCAUUUCCCAGAACUGCAUAUGACCCAUCUCUCAAUCUGCUGGCCGCAGCUGGUCAAGACCUUGAAGUGGAAAAUCUUCCAAUUCCAGCAGCAAAUGUAAUCGUGGUGGAUUUUCAUCAUUGA
rnacentral:lncRNA from 1 species